rnacentral:rRNA from 1 species
GACGAACGCUGGCGGCGUGCUUAACACAUGCAAGUCGAGCGGUAAGGCCCUUUCGGGGGUACACGAGCGGCGAACGGGUGAGUAACACGUGGGUGACCUGCCCUCAGCUCUGGGAUAAGCCUGGGAAACCGGGUCUAAUACUGGAUAUGACUCCAUGACGCAUGUUGUGGGGUGGAAAGCCUUGUGCGGCUGAGGAUGGGCCCGCGGCCUAUCAGCUUGUUGGUGGGGUGANGGCCUACCAAGGCGACGACGGGUAGCCGGCCUGAGAGGGCGACCGGCCACACUAGGACUGAGACACGGCCCAGACUCCUACGGGAGGCAGCAGUGGGGAAUCUUGCGCAAUGGGCGAAAGCCUGACGCAGCGACGCCGC